AAAAAAGAUCGACUUCCGGGUCGAGUCGAUGUUUAACCAAACCUAAAAUUCUCCUCUGCGCCUCCCUUCUCUUUCUGUCAUCUCUCGCCCACUAACCAAACCUAGUCUCCCUCUGCCUCUCCUCUCCACUCCAACGGCGCUAAAGUUUCUCAUCUGUUCAUCUCAGAUCUGGUCUCUCUUUCUGUCUCUCUCUCUCUCUCUCUCUCGGUCUCAGGUGUCGCACCGUCGCAGCCUCUCCUUUGUUGGUCGGCCGUCAAUCAACCCCUCUGAGGAAACUGCAUUCAAGAUUAGGAAAUUUUACAUCCUGCAGCUAUUGCAUCCGAAACUAGAAGGUCCAACAAAAUAGAAGGAGGAUUUGCUGCCCAAUUCGAAGGCAGAGACCCGCGGAGAUGGGCCUUAGCAGCCCAGUCCGCUACAGUGUUUGUUUCACGCCUUCUAAACCUAAGUUGCAGCUGUGAAAAACAGGGUAAGAGUGCGACAACUUCAGCAAGAAGACUCCGAACCUCCCAUGGCGUCGUGUACGGAUCAUUAACAGCUUCAACCAACGUUUUGCAGUCAGAAUCUAUGAUGACUUUCUCAGUUACUCUACCUCGCUUCAGAAGGUCAUUAAAUGCUAGGGUUAGCGCCUGGAUUUCAACCUGAAGAGCGGAAGAAGCAUCUACAGCACAUAACAUCCGGAUCUGGAGCAGUCCAAAGUGAAUCGGGACCGGCAGUUUUUUGCAAUGAACCGGUCAAGGCAGAGGUGGUCUGUUGUGCCAGACAAACCUGGAGUAGGCCUUUUUCGACAACAAACGUUGGAUCUGGCCAUUUAUGAGAGAAAGUAAAUCGAUUCCGAGCCUUCCAGAUUUGCCACAGGAGAGCGCCUACAAUGUCCAGACCAGGUGAGUUCCUGUGCUGAGUAAGUCUGUCUUCUAUCCAAGCGUCUAUACAACGAAUUUCUGUUGGUAUAAUGUGAAUGCCGAUUUGUGGGUGAGACCAGACCUUUAAAGUCCAUGGGCAUAGGAGAAACAAAUGUUCCAGCGUUUCUGGCAUGUGGGUAGCGCAUAAUGCACACACUGGGUCUGGGCUAAUAUGUCUCUGAAAUAGGUUAUCUCUGGUAGGAAGAGCGUUUUGACAAAUGGACCAUAGAAAAAUCCUAAUUUUGGGUGGGAGAUGAAGUUUCCAUAUACUUUUCCAGAGUAAGUUAGGUGGUUGAUAAGAUGAGGAGGCUCUGUUCUCAUUAGUGGUAGAUGUUGUGCGUCUGAUAGUAUGAUAUCCUCGCUUAACCGAGUACUGUCCGUGAGGAUCAUCUGUCCAAAUCAACUGAUCUGCUGUAUGAUGUGGCCUAAUUGGGAUUGCCUGGAUUUCUGUUGUUGUCUCAACGUCAAAAAAGCGAUGCAGUAAGGAAACAUCCCAUCGGUUAUGUUCUGGUUCAAUCAGUUCAGCGACCAUCUUAGGUUCGUCUCUAGCAGCAGGUCCGACUAGUUUUCCCCUAGAUAACCACUGAUCCUCACGUAUUCUGAUGUGAGUCCCAUCACCAAUAGACCAUUGCAGCUUUGAUAAAAUAGACUCCCGUCCUAAUAGAAUACUCCGCCAACCCCAGGAGGGCCGAGCUCCUCUGGCAGCACAUAGAAAAUCUUGCGAAUGGAAAUAUAGACCUUUGAAUAGUUGAGUCCACAGAGAUGAAGGUUGCUGAAGCAAGCGCCAGGCUUGUUUGCCUAGCAUUGCUCUAUUAAAAGCAAUGAGAUCUUUAAAACCAAGACCUCCCAACUCCUUCCUGUUUUUAAGAAUGUUCCAGUCUUUCCAAUGUAUGCCUUGCCGUUGACUAUUGUUCUUCCACCAGAAGCUUGCUAUCUUUUUUUCUAUGGACUGACAUAGUGAGUGAGGAAUUUUAAAGAUAGACAUAGCAUAAUGUGGUAUCGCCUAAACGACGGCCUUGAUGAGAAUCUCCUUUCCUCCCUUCGAAAUCAGGUUUUCUUUCCAUCCUUCCAGUUUUCUAUUCACUCUUGCCAGCAUCCAGGCAAACAUAUCUCUCUUAGAACGUCCCCAAUCAGACGAGAUUCCUAGGUAUUUACCCGUCCUAUCUAAGAUAGGGAUGCGAAAUUCAUUCGCCAUAUUCUCUUUAAGGCUGCUGGGACAAUCUUUACUAGAGAAAAGACCUGAUUUAUUCCGAUUGACAGCUUGACCCGUAGCCAUACAAUACUGAUUCAGAA